rnacentral:rRNA from 1 species
UAAUACAGAGGGUGCAAGCGUUGUUCGGAAUCACUGGGCGUAAAGCGCGCGCAGGCGGAGCAUCAAGUCGGAAGUGAAAUCUCGCCGCUCAACGACGAGGCUGCUUUCGAUACUGGCGUUCUAGGGACCGGUAGAGGCUGGUAGAAUUGCAGGUGUAGCGGUGGAAUGCGUAGAGAUCUGCAAGAAUACCCGUGGCGAAGGCGGCCAGCUGGGCCGGGUCCGACGCUGAGGCGCGAAAGCGUGGGGAGCAAACAGGAUUAGAUACCCUGGUAGUCCACGCCGUAAACGAUGGGCACUAGGUGCCGGGGGGAGCGACCCCUUCGGUGCCGCAGCUAACGCGAUAAGUGCCCCGCCUGGGGAGUACGGCCGCAAGGCUG